rnacentral:rRNA from 1 species
GUCCACGCCCUAAACGAUGCUGACUAGUUGUUCGGGAUUUACAUCCUGAGUAACGUAGCUAACGCGUGAAGUCAGCCGCCUGGGGAGUACGGUCGCAAGAUUAAAACUCAAAGGAAUUGACGGGGACCCGCACAAGCGGUGGAUGAUGUGGAUUAAUUCGAUGCAACGCGAAAAACCUUACCUACCCUUGACAUGUCACUAACGAAGUAGAGAUACAUUAGGUGCUCGUAAGAGAAAGUGAACACAGGUGCUGCAUGGCUGUCGU